rnacentral:rRNA from 1 species
AUGAAGAGAUGUGAUGAUCUAAUGAACCAGAAGCAAUCCAUUGGAGCUACUUUUUAUGAGUGGUAUGUUGCACGUUGUCCUGAUGUGGCUGUUGUUGCUUUGAAGAAUGCUCCUCAGAAUUUAAAGUUGGUUUCUUUGACUAUCCAGAAAGAUAUUGUGAAAGCUUAUGCGAUAGAAACAGUCAAAGCAAUCAUAGAAGAUCUGGGAGAUGAAUACUUUGCUAUAUUGGUUGAUGAAUCUCAUGAUGAGAAACAAGCAAAAAGAGUCCAAACGGCACUGCAGAAUGGAGAACUUGAAACUGGUAGAGGUUUGAAUCAAGAACUUGGACUUAAAUGA